GUGAGGAAUAUUGGUCAAUGGACGAGAGUCUGAACCAGCCAAGUCGCGUGAAGGAAGACGGUUCUAUGAAUUGUAAACUUCUUUUGUGCAGGAAUAAAGUGGGUUACGUGUAACCUUUUGUAUGUACUGUACGAAUAAGGAUCGGCUAACUCCGUGCCAGCAGCCGUGGUAAUACGGAGGAUCCGAGCGUUAUCCGGAUUUAUUGGGUUUAAAGGGUGCGUAGGUGGAUUGAUAAGUCAGCGGUGAAAGUUUGCAGCUUAACUGUAAAAUUGCCGUUGAAACUGUCGGUCUUGAGUGCAAAUGAGGUAUGCGGAAUGUGUUGUGUAGCGGUGAAAUGCUUAGAUAUAACACAGAACUCCGAUUGCGAAGGCAGCUUACUGGGAUGCAACUGACACUGAUGCACGAAAGCGUGGGUAUCAAACAGGAUUAGAAACCCGUGUAGUCC
rnacentral:rRNA from 1 species